GACAGAGGAGCCAAGCGUUGUCCGGAUUGACUGGGCGUAAAGCGCACGCAGGCGGGUGCGCGCGUGGGGUGUGAAAUCUGGCCGCUUAACGGCCAGGCGCCAUCCCAUACGGCGCGCCUGGAGCCUUGCAGAGGGCGGUGGAAUUGCCGGUGUAGUGGUGAAAUGCGUAGAUAUUGGGAGGAACACCAGUGGCGAAGGCGGCUCGCUGGACCGGUUCUGACGCUGAUGCGCGAAAGCGUGGGGAGCAAACGGG
rnacentral:rRNA from 1 species